GCAGCUUUAGUGCUCACAUAUUCUAAAACUGGAAUGAUACAGAGAUGAUUAGCAUGGCCCCUGC
ensembl:snRNA U6 U6 spliceosomal RNA